UACAGAGGGUGCGAGCGUUGUUCGGAAUUAUUGGGCGUAAAGCGCUUGUAGGCGGCACGUCAAGUCGCGUGUGAAAUCCCCAGGCUUAACCUGGGAAGUGCGCGCGAAACUGACGAGCUUGAGUGCCGGAGAGGGUCGCGGAAUUCCCGGUGUAGAGGUGAAAUUCGUAGAUAUUCGCAAGAACACCGGUGGCGAAGGCGGCCAACUGGACCAUUACUGACGCUGAGGCGCGAAAGCGUGGGGAGCAAACA
rnacentral:rRNA from 1 species